rnacentral:rRNA from 1 species
GCAGUCGAGCGGUAGAGAGAAGCUUGCUUCUCUUGAGAGCGGCGGACGGGUGAGUAAUGCCUAGGAAUCUGCCUGGUAGUGGGGGAUAACGUUCGGAAACGGACGCUAAUACCGCAUACGUCCUACGGGAGAAAGCAGGGGACCUUCGGGCCUUGCGCUAUCAGAUGAGCCUAGGUCGGAUUAGCUAGUUGGUGAGGUAAUGGCUCACCAAGGCGACGAUCCGUAACUGGUCUGAGAGGAUGAUCAGUCACACUGGAACUGAGACACGGUCCAGACUCCUACGGGAGGCAGCAGUGGGGAAUAUUGGACAAUGGGCGAAAGCCUGAUCCAGCCAUGCCGCGUGUGUGAAGAAGGUCUUCGGAUUGUAAAGCACUUUAAGUUGGGAGGAAGGGCAGUUACCUAAUACGUGAUUGUUUUGACGUUACCGACAGAAUAAGCACCGGCUAACUCUGUGCCAGCAGCCGCGGUAAUACAGAGGGUGCAAGCGUUAAUCGGAAUUACUGGGCGUAAAGCGCGCGUAGGUGGUUUGUUAAGUUGGAUGUGAAAUCCCCGGGCUCAACCUGGGAACUGCAUUCAAAACUGACUGACUAGAGUAUGGUAGAGGGUGGUGGAAUUUCCUGUGUAGCGGUGAAAUGCGUAGAUAUAGGAAGGAACACCAGUGGCGAAGGCGACCACCUGGACUGAUACUGACACUGAGGUGCGAAAGCGUGGGGAGCAAACAGGAUUAGAUACCCUGGUAGUCCACGCCGUAAACGAUGUCAACUAGCCGUUGGGAGCCUUGAGCUCUUAGUGGCGCAGCUAACGCAUUAAGUUGACCGCCUGGGGAGUACGGCCGCAAGGUUAAAACUCAAAUGAAUUGACGGGGGCCCGCACAAGCGGU